AACAAACAGUUCUAUUUGUGUUAAUAAG
rnacentral:misc_RNA from 1 species